GCGAAAUGAUGAAACAAGAUGGCCUCCAUAGGAUUUCAAAUCCUUUCCAUCUGCUUGCUUUUAAACUUCUUCGAAAUCGUUCAGCAAGACAAAGUAUACUUAAUCAAGGGUCCAAAACAUAUCAACGGUUCUAUUGGAGAAGAUGCCUUGUUUAUGUGGAAUACGACGGAUCGAAAAGAAAUUCUUGCUGUCAGCUGGGGAAUAAGAAAGGGCAACAUCCCUGAUCCUCAGUUUAUCAGUGUUGAUGGCUACCAUAGAAGGGUGACCAAAAACAAAGAUAUUGGCGAAACGUUGAAAAGAAGAGUAGAAUUUCUUGGAAACUUGACAAUGGGUCGUGCUUGGUUUGUGUUGAAGAACCUUACUGUCAAUGACACUAAUGAAUACAUUGCAAGCAUCAGUGACGAUGAAUCUAGUGAUAUACCAUAUUGUGUGCGCCUAAACGUUACGGAGAAGAGAAAAGAAAAACCAACAGAAGGGCCUUCUCCAACCCCAGACACUACAGCUGCUGCUCCGAACAAUACAAGUAAGGUUUUGAUAGCUUCAGCAUGCAUAAAAUUCUGGAAUACUGAUAAACAGUUAUAAUAUGCAUAUAUUAUAGCAUCGCGAUUCACUCUCAAUAGUCUCUUGUUUUUUAAGACGACAAUAUUUUAUGGUGUUGUCGUUUCAAAAUUAAGGUUUCUGAUUGUCUAACGCGCGCGACGAUAAAGGAAAGCUUGAAGCGCGCGCGUGAUAUUUUUACGCUUGUUGCUUGCGCCAUAGCGCGCGCUCGUAAGAAGAAUUUCGCUUGUGAUCAAAGAAAAUCGGUCAUCACCUUUUUUUCUUUUACGAGCACCGACAAAUA
rnacentral:misc_RNA from 1 species